CAGUCGCCGCGGUAACACGUAGGUGGCAAGCGUUAUCCGGAAUUAUUGGGCGUAAAGCGCGCGUAGGCGGUUUUUUAAGUCUGAUGUGAAAGCCCACGGCUCAACCGUGGAGGGUCAUUGGAAACUGGAAAACUUGAGUGCAGAAGAGGAGAGUGGAAUUCCACGUGUAGCGGUGAAAUGCGUAGAGAUGUGGAGGAACACCAGUGGCGAAGGCGACUCUCUGGUCUGUAACUGACGCUGAGGAGCGAAAGCGUGGGGAGCGAACAGGAUUAGAUACCCCGGUAGUCCCUGUCUCUUAUAC
rnacentral:rRNA from 1 species